rnacentral:lncRNA from 1 species
AUUAUUCAACACAAGAAUACCUCUUAAUGAUAUUAAAACUUGAUUCCAGAUCUAAAUGAUUAGGACAUAUUCAGAUCUAUUGAGAACUAAAAUAUAUUAAAAAAACAAUAGCACUUAAUGGUUUGAAGUCUGAACCAUUCAGAUUCAGACCUCCAUUAAGUGCAAACAAAUGAGGCCUAAAUCAGAUUACACGUGGAAAGGGGCGCUAGAAGAAUCAGAAAGUUGGCUUACUAGACGGAUGAUACUUAUCACUAGGUGCAGAUUGGCCCUCAAUGUAUUUUGUACAUAUACAAUGUCCCUACUUUAAGUCCUCAAAAAGUAGUAAAAUGUCUUGAGUUAGUGAGAAAGGAUUUUCUAUGACUGGGACAGAGAGAACUUCCAAUUUCAUCAAAUGAGAUGGAAGUCCAAACAGAAAAAGUGGCUGGAAUUGGGAAAUUCAAAAAUCAUAAUGAUAAUCAUUGCUAAGUGGCUGUGGAGAUUCAAUGACGAGGAAAAUGCACUUUGUAGUUAGAGCAAAAUAUGUUAUGGAGGUCUUGCAAACUAAAUCAUGUUCUUGGUCAUGGUGCAUGAACCUGAAGACAUUAGACUAUUUUUUUUUGAACUAGGUUACUUCGAAAGGGCAUUUGACUAUUAUGGGAGAGCUUCACAGAGAACAAGAUUUUCAAUGUAAGAAAUGGCACAUGGAACUUGUUUCCUGCUUGAUGCUUCGAUAGAACACUAAUCAUAGAAGCAAUCCCUACUAGUUACAGAAAUGCAGUUGAUUAGAGAAGCUAUAGCAUAUGACAGACUGACACCGAGAUGGACGUGGAACUCAGUAGCAACUUCAAUGAUUGGAAGGUGGAGGCUAUGUGCCAACUGUUACAGCUAUUUGCUAGCUUCAUAACCGUGCGUACAAGCCCUGACACUUACCAUGGUAUGGCUGUGUAAUGAGAAAUUCUUUGUUAAAACUUUUUAUAAAAUCCCAUGCAGAGUAAAAAUGCAGCAAUCUGGGUGGCCAUGAAAAUAUUCAAGAGUU